UACGUAGGGUGCGAGCGUUAAUCGGAAUUACUGGGCGUAAAGCGUGCGCAGGCGGUGAUGUAAGACAGUUGUGAAAUCCCCGGGCUCAACCUGGGAACUGCAUCUGUGACUGCAUCGCUGGAGUGCGGCAGAGGGGGAUGGAAUUCCGGCGUGUAGCAGUGAAAUGCGUAGAUAUGCGGAAGAACACCGAUGGCGAAGGCAAUCCCCUGGGCCUGCACUGACGCUCCAUGCACGAAAGCGUGGGGAGCAAACAGGA
rnacentral:rRNA from 1 species